AGCCCCAAACCAAGCCUAACACAACACGAUACAACCCGCCCCCCUCAGCCCGCACCCAAUAAAACAUUUUACUCUUCUAGUAGAGGCGAUCGAAAGACUUUUAAGCGCUUUACAAAAAGUACCGCAAGGGAACGGUGAAAUAGAUUUGAAAUAGUCCCAAGCACUAAACAGCAGAGACCUCCCCCUCGUACCUUUUGCAUCAUGGUUUAGCCAGGCCUCAUCAGGCAAGACGAAAUCUCAGUUUGACCCCCCGAAACUAGGCGAGCUACUUCGAAACAGCUUUAAAGAGCAAACCCGUCUCUGUUGCAAAAGAGUGGGACGAUUUCCAAGUAGAAGUGAAAAGCCUAUCGAGCCUAGAGAUAGCUGGUUACUCGGGAAAAGAAUGUUAGUUCACCCUCAAGCUUCCCAAUUAACUUAAACAGCCCACUAAGCUUGAGAGCCACUCAAAUAAGGCACAGCUUGUUUGAAAAAGAAUACAGUCUAAAACAAAGGGUAAGUAAUAAAACACCCCAAAGUGGGCCUGAAAGCAGCCACCUUUGAAAAAGCGUUAAAGCUUAUUUCCCCCCCCCCCCCCCCAUAAUCCCAACACCCCUCACGAACCCUUAACCACUACUGAGUAGCCCUAUAAAUUAUAGGAGAUAUUAUGCUAAAACUAGUAACAAGAAUAAGACAUUCUCCAAAAUGUAAGUGUAUGUUAAAACGGACCCACCAUCAACCUUUACCGCCUAUGAACCCAAUAUAGUAACCCAACAAGAAAAACCUAUAGCCUCUGGCGUUAAUCUAACACAAGAACAUUUCUGGAAAGAUUAAAAGAGAAAGAAGGAACUCGGCAAACCUAGGCCCCGCCUGUUUACCAAAAACAUCGCCUCUUGAUUAACUAUAAGAGGUCCCGCCUGCCCAGUGACAUUGUUCAACGGCCGCGGUAUCCUGACCGUGCGAAGGUAGCAUAAUCACUUGUUCUUUAAAUGGGGACUAGUAUGAAAGGCACCACGAGGGCUUUACUGUCUCCUUUCUCCAAUCAGUGAAACUGAUCUCCCUGUGAAAAAGCAGGAAUACUAAUAUAAGACGAGAAGACCCCAUGGAGCUUUAAACCCAAUGACAACCCGAACACCCCCAACCCAUUAGAGUUUUAUAAGUACUGUCCAUUGGUUUUAGGUUGGGGUGACCGCGGAGAACAAAAUAACCUCCAUGACGAACGGGACUAACCCCUAAUCCAAGAGCCACAGCUCUAAGAAUUAACAUAUUAACGUUAACUGAUCCAAUCAAUUGAUCAACGAACCAAGUUACCCUGGGGAUAACAGCGCAAUCCAUUUUGAGAGCCCCUAUCGAAAAAUGGGUUUACGACCUCGAUGUUGGAUCAGGGUACCCAGGUGGUGCA
rnacentral:rRNA from 1 species